AAAUUGAAGAGUUUGAUCAUGGCUCAGAUUGAACGCUGGCGGCAGGCCUAACACAUGCAAGUCGAACGGUAACAGAAAGCAGCUUGCUGCUUUGCUGACGAGUGGCGGACGGGUGAGUAAUGUCUGGGAAACUGCCCGAUGGAGGGGGAUAACUACUGGAAACGGUAGCUAAUACCGCAUAACGUCGCAAGACCAAAGAGGGGGACCUUAGGGCCUUUUGCCAUCGGAUGUGCCCAGAUGGGAUUAGCUAGUAGGUGGGGUAACGGCUCACCUAGGCGACGAUCCCUAGCUGGUCUGAGAGGAUGACCAGCCACACUGGAACUGAGACACGGUCCAGACUCCUACGGGAGGCAGCAGUGGGGAAUAUUGCACAAUGGGCGCAAGCCUGAUGCAGCCAUGC
rnacentral:rRNA from 1 species